rnacentral:snRNA from 1 species
GUGCUUGCUUCAGCAAUACAUAUUCUAAAAUUGGAAUGAUAUAGAGAAGAUUAACAUGGCCCCUGUGCAAGGAUGACAUGCGAAUUCAUGAAGUGUUCUAUAUUUUU